rnacentral:misc_RNA from 1 species
AAGUCGUAACAAGGUUUCCGUAGGUGAACCUGCGGAAGGAUCAUUAUCGAACAAAAAAAAAUGUUUAUUUCCUUUCCCCCCUUUUUUUUUUCCCAUCAAACAAAACCUGUCAUCGCAUGGUCAUUGACAAAUGUUAAAUAUAAAUAUAACUUUCAACAACGGAUCUCUUGGCUCUC